GACGAACGCUGGCGGCGUGCUUAACACAUGCAAGUCGAACGGAAAGGCCCUGCUUUUGUGGGGUGCUCGAGUGGCGAACGGGUGAGUAACACGUGAGUAACCUGCCCUUGACUUUGGGAUAACUUCAGGAAACUGGGGCUAAUACCGGAUAGGAGCUCCUGCUGCAUGGUGGGGGUUGGAAAGUUUCGGCGGUUGGGGAUGGACUCGCGGCUUAUCACCUUGUUGGUGGGGUAGUGGCUUACCAAGGCUUUGGCGGGUAGCCGGCCUGGGAGGGUGACAGGCCACAUGGGGCGAGGGAAGCGGCCCGGGCGCCACAGGGGGGAAGGGGGGGGAAUUUUGUCCAAAAGGGGGGAGGCGGUGAGGAACGACGCCGGGUUGGGAAGGCCGGCUUUUGGGUAGGAAACGCCUUUCGCUUGUAACGAGCGGUGGUGACGGGAAAUGGGGAAAAAGGCCCGGCUAAAUUAGUG
rnacentral:rRNA from 1 species